rnacentral:rRNA from 1 species
GAUGAACGCUGGCGGUAUGCUUAACACAUGCAAGUCGAACGGACUCUUCGGAGUUAGUUGCGGACGGGUGAGUCACGCGUGAGAAUCUGGCUUUGGGUUCGGGACAACCACUGGAAACGGUGGCUAAUACCGGAUGUGCCGCGCGGUAAAAGAGUAAUUGCCUGAAGAUGAGCUCGCGUCUGAUUAGCUAGUUGGUGAGGUAAAGGCCCACUAAGGCAGCGAUCAGUAGCCGGUCUGAGAGGAUGACCAGCCACACUGGGACUGGGACACGGCCCAGACGCCUACGGGAGGAAGGAGGGGGGAAUGAUCCACAAAGGCCGAAAGCCUGACGGAGCAAUACGGGUUGAGAAAAGAAGGCGCUUGGGAUGAAAACCACUUUGCUUAUGGAAGAACGAAAUGACGGUACCUAAGGAAUCAGCAUCGGCUAACUCCGUG